GCCCGGGUGGUGGAAUCGGUAGACACAAGGGAUUUAAAAUCCCUCGGCGUUCGCGCUGUGCGGGUUCAAGUCCCGCCCCGGGCA
rnacentral:tRNA from 1 species